UACGAGGGAUCCUAGCGUUGUUCGGAAUCAUUGGGCGUAAAGGGUGUGUAGGCGGCCAUGUAAGUCAGUUGUGAAAGCCCCGGGCUCAACCCGGGAAGUGCUUCUGAUACUGCUUGGCUUGAGUAUUGGAUAGGUGAGUGGAAUUCCAGGUGUAGUGGUGAAAUACGUAGAUAUCUGGAGGAACACCGGCGGCGAAGGCGGCUCACUGGCCAUAUACUGACGCUGAGGCACGAAAGCUAGGGGAGCAAACAGG
rnacentral:rRNA from 1 species